UACGAAGGGGACUAGCGUUGUUCGGAAUUACUGGGCGUAAAGCGCGCGUAGGCGGAUCGCUAAGUCAGGGGUGAAAUCCCAGGGCUCAACCCUGGAACUGCCUUUGAUACUGACGAUCUGGAGAUCGGGAGAGGUUGGUGGAAUUCCGAGUGUAGAGGUGAAAUUCGUAGAUAUCGAGAGGAACACCGGUGGCGAAGGCGGCGACCUGGACGAUUACUGACGCUGAGACGCGAAAGCGUGGGGAGCAAACAGG
rnacentral:rRNA from 1 species